GGAUUAGGCAUGCAAGUCGAACGGGGCUGAUUUCUUCGGAAUGAAAGCCUAGUGGCGAAAGGGUGAGGAAUACAUGGACCAUCUACCCAUGGGCCCGGGACAACAGCUGGAAACGGCUGCUAAUACCGGAUAGUCCGGAAACGGUAAAGGCGGGGACCUUCGGGCCCGUCACCUGAGGAGGAGUCCAUGUCCUAUCAGCUUGUUGGUGAGGUAACGGCUCACCAAGGCUAAGACGGGUAGCCGGUCUGAGAGGAUGUCCGGCCACACUGGAACUGAGACACUGUCCAGACUCCUACGGGAGGCUGCAGUCGAGAAUCUUCCGCAAUGGACGAAAGUCUGACGGAGCGACGCCGCGUGCGGGAUGAAGGCCCUCGGGUUGUAAACCGCUGUCACACGUUAGGAAAAAGCACGGACCAAUACUCCGUGCCUUGACAAAAGCGUGAGAGGAAGCCACGGCUAACUUCGUGCCAGCAGCCGCGGUAAGACGAAGGUGGCAAGCGUUGCUCGGAAUUACUGGGCAUAAAGAGCGCGUAGGUGGCUUGGUUAGCGGGUGAUGAAAUCCCAUGGCUCACCCAUGGAACUGUUACCCGAACUGCCAAGCUUGAGGACGGGAGGGGAAAGUGGAAUUCCUGGUGUAGCGGUGAAAUGCGUAGAUAUCAGGAGGAACGCCGGUGGCGAAAGCGACUUUCUGGCCCGUUCCUGACACUGAGGCGCGAAAGCUAGGGGAGCAAACAGGAUUAGAUACCCUGGUAGUCCUAGCUGUAAACGAUGGGCACUAAGUAGAGGGGUUUU
rnacentral:rRNA from 1 species